GAGGAAAAGCAGAGCCGCCCCCAUGGGUAGG
rnacentral:sRNA from 1 species